rnacentral:tRNA from 1 species
UCCCUGGUGGUCUAGUGGUUAGGACUCAGCACUUUCACUGCCGUAGCCCAGAUUCAAUCCCUGGUCUAGGAA